UCUAUAUCACGAGCUCCGAAGUUUGGAAUUUCACUUUCUUUACUUUGGUGCCCCGAGCUCUUUUGUGAAGUCGGACUUAAUUUCUUACUUUCUUGUCGAGCCUUAUUCGGGCUGUGUUUCAGUCUGACUGUUCAUUUGUUUGGUUUUAACUUUUCUUUUAUAGGCUUAUAGCCUUGCCGGUCCAGAUGUGAGGCCCCUCCAGGCUUCCGGGAAGGUCGACCUUGAAUUGCAGGGGUCGGACUAUCUGUUUUUGGAUUUGACCGUCUUGCCUUCUUGAUUCUUUAUCUGAGCGUUUGGACUCUCGUGUAUGUUUUUUGCCCCCGAG
rnacentral:lncRNA from 1 species